rnacentral:rRNA from 1 species
UCUGGUUGAUCCUGCCAGUAGUCAUAUGCUUGUCUCAAAGAUUAAGCCAUGCAUGUCUAAGUAUAAGCAAUUUAUACAGUGAAACUGCGAAUGGCUCAUUAAAUCAGUUAUCGUUUAUUUGAUAGUUCCUUUACUACAUGGUAUAACUGUGGUAAUUCUAGAGCUAAUACAUGCUUAAAAUCUCGACCCUUUGGAAGAGAUGUAUUUAUUAGAUAAAAAAUCAAUGUCUUCGGACUCUUUGAUGAUUCAUAAUAACUUUUCGAAUCGCAUGGCCUUGUGCUGGCGAUGGUUCAUUCAAAUUUCUGCCCUAUCAACUUUCGAUGGUAGGAUAGUGGCCUACCAUGGUUUCAACGGGUAACGGGGAAUAAGGGUUCGAUUCCGGAGAGGGAGCCUGAGAAACGGCUACCACAUCCAAGGAAGGCAGCAGGCGCGCAAAUUACCCAAUCCUAAUUCAGGGAGGUAGUGACAAUAAAUAACGAUACAGGGCCCAUUCGGGUCUUGUAAUUGGAAUGAGUACAAUGUAAAUACCUUAACGAGGAACAAUUGGAGGGCAAGUCUGGUGCCAGCAGCCGCGGUAAUUCCAGCUCCAAUAGCGUAUAUUAAAGUUGUUGCAGUUAAAAAGCUCGUAGUUGAACUUUGGGCCCGGUUGGCCGGUCCGAUUUUUUCGUGUACUGGAUUUCCAACGGGGCCUUUCCUUCUGGCUAACCUUGAGUCCUUGUGGCUCUUGGCGAACCAGGACUUUUACUUUGAAAAAAUUAGAGUGUUCAAAGCAGGCGUAUUGCUCGAAUAUAUUAGCAUGGAAUAAUAGAAUAGGACGUUUGGUUCUAUUUUGUUGGUUUCUAGGACCAUCGUAAUGAUUAAUAGGGACGGUCGGGGGCAUCAGUAUUCAAUUGUCAGAGGUGAAAUUCUUGGAUUUAUUGAAGACUAACUACUGCGAAAGCAUUUGCCAAGGACGUUUUCAUUAAUCAAGAACGAAAGUUAGGGGAUCGAAGAUGAUCAGAUACCGUCGUAGUCUUAACCAUAAACUAUGCCGACUAGGGAUCGGGUGGUGUUUUU